AUAAAUCGAAAACUUGACUGGAAAUAUAUACUGUUAUUGAUUGGAAAUGAAAAGUGAAUAAGUAUGGUGAUAAAAGCAAGAGGGAUACACCUGUACCCAUGCCGAACACAGAAGUUAAGCCUCUUAACGCCGAUGGUACUACGAUGGAAACGUCGUGGGAGAGUAGGUAGUCGCCAAAC
rnacentral:rRNA from 1 species